rnacentral:misc_RNA from 1 species
GAUGAAGAACGCAGCAAAAUGCGAUAAGUAAUGUGAAUUGCAGAAUUCAGUGAAUCAUCGAAUCUUUGAACGCACAUUGCGCCCGCUGGUAUUCCGGCGGGCAUGCCUGUUCGAGCGUCAUUUCAACCCUCAAGCCCCCGGGUUUGGUGUUGGGGAUCGGCUCUGCCCUUCUGGGCGGUGCCGCCCCCCAAAUACAUUGGCGGUCUCGCUGCAGCCUCCAUUGCGUAGUAGCUAACACCUCGCAACUGGAACGCGGCGCGGCCAUGCCGUAAAACCCCAACUUCUGAAUGUUGACCUCGGAUCAGGUAGGAAUACCCGCUGAACUUAAGCAUAUCAAUAAGCGGAGGA